UACGUAGGGGGCAAGCGUUGUCCGGAAUCAUUGGGCGUAAAGCGCGCGUAGGCGGCCCGAUAAGUCUGCUGUAAAAGUCAACGGCUCAACCGUUGAAAGCCGGUGGAUACUGUCGGGCUAGAGUCCGGAAGAGGCAAGUGGAAUUCCUGGUGUAGCGGUGGAAUGCGCAGAUAUCAGGAGGAACACCUAUAGCGAAGGCAGCUUGCUGGGACGGUACUGACGCUAAGGCGCGAAAGCGUGGGGAGCGAACAGG
rnacentral:rRNA from 1 species